AAGGCUUUAAGUUAAUUAAACUAGUGACCUUCAAAGUCCCCUAUAAGAGAACUGCUCUUAAACCUUA
rnacentral:tRNA from 1 species